rnacentral:tRNA from 1 species
GCGGGAGUAGCUCAGGGGUAGAGCAUCAGCCUUCCAAGCUGAGGGUCGCGGGUUCGAAUCCCGUUUCCCGCU